UACGUAGGGUGCAGGCGUUAAUCGGAAUUACUGGGCGUAAAGCGUGCGCAGGCGGUUUCUUAAGUCAGAUGUGAAAGCCCCGGGCUUAACCUGGGAACUGCGUUUGAAACUGGGAGACCUGAGUGUGGCAGAGGGGGGUGGAAUUCCACGUGUAGCAGUGAAAUGCGUAGAUAUGUGGAGGAACACCGAUGGCGAAGGCAGCCCCCUGGGUUAACACUGACGCUCAUGCACGAAAGCGUGGGGAGCAAACAGG
rnacentral:rRNA from 1 species